rnacentral:tRNA from 1 species
GACCAGAUGGCGUAGUGGUUAGUGACUCUGACUACUGAGCCGAAGGUCCCUACUAAGCCGAAGGUCCCGGGUUCGAUUCCCGGCUGGGGCA